rnacentral:rRNA from 1 species
GAGUUUGUCCUGGCUCAGGAUGAACGCUAGCGAUAGGCUUAACACAUGCAAGUCGAGGGGCAGCAUGAACUUAGCUUGCUAAGUUUGAUGGCGACCGGCGCACGGGUGCGUAACGCGUAUGCAACUUGCCUUACAGAGGGGGAUAACCCGUUGAAAGACGGACUAAUACCGCAUAUACUUAUUCGGUUGCAUGACCGGGCAAGGAAAUAUUUAUAGCUGUAAGAUAGGCAUGCGUCCCAUUAGCUGGUUGGUGAGGUAACGGCUCACCAAGGCAACGAUGGGUAGGGGAACUGAGAGGUUUAUCCCCCACACUGGUACUGAGACACGGACCAGACUCCUACGGGAGGCAGCAGUGAGGAAUAUUGGUCAAUGGGCGAGAGCCUGAACCAGCCAAGUCGCGUGAAGGAUGACUGUCCUAAGGAUUGUAAACUUCUUUUAUACGGGAAUAACGGGCGAUACGCGUAUUGCUAUGAAUGUACCGUAAGAAUAAGCAUCGCA